ensembl:miRNA gmo-mir-11930 gmo-mir-11930
AAAAUCCACACAUCAGCACGGAUUAUCCAUAAGCACGUUCGUAUGCUGAUCCGCGGAUUUCCC